rnacentral:rRNA from 1 species
CCUACGGGGGGCAGCAGUGAGGAAUAUUGGUCAAUGGACGAGAGUCUGAACCAGCCAAGUAGCGUGAAGGACGAAUGCCCUAUGCGUUGUAAACUUCUUUUAUAUGGGAAUAAAAUGUUCCACGUGUGGGUUUUUGUGUGUACCAUAUGAAUAAGGAUCGGCUAACUCCGUGCCAGCAGCCGCGGUAAUACGGAGGAUCCGAGCGUUAUCCGGGUUUAUUGGGUUUAAAGGGAGCGUAGGUGGAUUGUUAAGUCAGUUGUGAAAGUUUGGGGCUCAACCGUAAAAUUGCAGUUGAAACUGGCAGUCUUGAGUACAGGAGAGGUGUGCGGAAUUCGUGGUGUAGCGGUGAAAUGCUUAGAUAUCACGAAGAACUCCGAUUGCGAAGGCAGCUCACUGGACGGCAUCUGACACUGAGGCUCGAAAGUGUGGGUAUCAAACAGGAUUAGAUACCCGAGUAGUC